rnacentral:piRNA from 1 species
UAAAUUGAAGAGACACUGAACAAACUAACUU